AAGGUUCAAUGGAAAAAUCAUGAGGACCGCAAGGAGCUAGAGUUUAGCGAAAAAGAUAGCAUAUUUAUUUUCGUGAGGUUUAUAAUCAAGUUUGGGGACGAAACUUUUUGUAAGGGGGGAGUAAUGUAGAAACCGAAGUUUUAUAAUAAAUUUUUUAAAAACUUGGGGUAUUUUUUUAUGUAAUUGGACUAUUUUUUAAUGAAACAAAAUUACCAUUUUGAGGUCUCGUAGUAAUGGAGGUCGUGAUAGGAUCUUUUCUAUGAUUUUGUGAUAUAAAAGCAUUGUUUGGAGAGAAAAACAACAAGAAAGCAACUAAUAAAGAGUUCUUUCUAGAAAAAAAGUGCGAGAUUUUAUGUGCCAAGUUGCGAGAUUUCUCAAGUGGAGGACAUAUGGUGCAAAGUACACAUUUUGGGGAGUUUUGAGUAAGAAAAUUAAAAGUAGAGGGGCUAAAAUGCAAUUAUCGUGAAAUGCGAUUUUAGAAGUUCGAGAUUAUCUCUUCCUUUCUCCUCUUCCUCUUCCUCUCCUAUCUACCACCUUCCUUCCAUACCCUAUUGUCGCACCACGUUGCUCCGACGAUCUCCUCGGCCGACAAGGAGCUUCCACGAGCUAUAUUUCUCUCUUUUUCUCUCUUUAUCUCUCAUAUUUCCCUCUUUACUCUCUCUCACCAUGGCUGUGACCUCCCCACUCCUCGACACCAACCGAUUGACCUCCGACGACCUCUUUCUAAU
rnacentral:lncRNA from 1 species